UGUUGUGUUUACUAAUCUGCAGGAGGUUGAGGCCUAUAAAAACAAAAACAAAACGCUUCUCUCUGGUAAAUAAAUAAUGUUGCACUGGAAUAGUUUAGCAGAGUUUUAUCGUGCAUAAACUUUUUUAAGCAUCUUCACAUGUAACAGAGCAUCAUGCCACUGGCAUCUUAAAGGAUUUCUGCAGGGCCGUCUCGUUCUUUGAUGGAAGCUGCAGAUAUGGAGCUGGAACCCGCGGUUUCGGUCACCCCUACCGACAGCCCCGACUGCGACCAUCAGAGACCGACCGCGGUCAGGAACCAUGGAGCUUCAGCGCCCUCCCACCUUGCCUGUUAUCCCCCGCACCCACCCCCUCCUGGGCAUCUCUCCGCCCUCGUGAAUACCCUCUCGCCCGCUUUUGAUCAAACCACGGCUGCUCCUGCAAUGUGGCCUAGGUAAUGGUUGUGGCCGGUUGCCGGGGUGUGUUGCCAUGGAGGGGGGUGGGAUGGACUUCAUUUGGUCAUUUGGACUUCAAGGCUGGACGUACCACUGACUCUAUGCUUUAAUUAGAGGCUGGCAUAAUAAUUGUUUGAUCAAGACUGUAAAAGAGCCCGUUGAGAGGUGGGCCAGCGCUGGCUGUGUGUAUCCUGCUUAAAAUGCCCUGCAUAUAGAGGUAGUGGCAGUCAGGGAGGUCUCUAACUGCUUUAUAUUUAUUAAAAUUCAGAAUAAUCCAUGCAAUCAAGAGAUAAUGUACAGUCAGACGGCCAUUUUUGUGAAAAAAAAAAAAAAAAAAAAAACCCACCAGGGUGAUCAGGAUCCCAAUUUGAAGGAGAUUUUUCCAUAAUGACCAACUGGUAGAAUGUACAUUAUCUGGCUUAUUACACUUCUGCUUAACAAUAAAUAAAUAAAUGGACAUGAAAUAUU